rnacentral:rRNA from 1 species
AGGACGAACGCUGGCGGCGUGCUUAACACAUGCAAGUCGAGCGGAAAGGCCCUUCGGGGUACUCGAGCGGCGAACGGGUGAGUAACACGUGAGCAACCUGCCCUUAGCUCUGGGAUAGCUCCGGGAAACCGGAAUUAAUACCGGAUACGACCUAGGCCGACAUCGGCCAUGGUGGAAAGUUUUUCGGCUAGGGAUGGACUCGCGGCCUAUCAGCUAGUUGGUGGGUAAAGGCCUACCAAGGCGACGACGGGUAGCCGGCCUGAGAGGGCGACCGGCCACACUGGGACUGAGACACGGCCCAGACUCCUACGGGAGGCAGCAGUGGGGAAUCUUGCGCAAUGGGCGAAAGCCUGACGCAGCGACGCCGCGUGGGGGAUGAAGGCCUUCGGGUUGUAACCCUUUCAGCAGGGACGAAGCGAAAGUGACGGUACCUGCAGAAGAAGCGCCGGCUAACUACGUGCCAGCAGCCGC